GUGCCUCCGCAACGGCGGCCGAGGCACCCGGCGGCGUGGUGUCCUGUACCUUGCCCGCCUCCCUCUCUCCCUGGCUCAGGCAGCCAUAUUCGUUAUCUUCCAUACCCAACUGACUGACGGCGUUGCGCUCUGCCUUGCACGGGUGAUAUCACCUCCGGCCACCUGGCAGCGCCAUGCCUAGACUGCGCCAUCACCUCCGCUUAAUCGUUUCGGCCACACAGACACACGCCCUAUACACGUGUGCAACGUUGUGCGCACCCCAUCUCUGCUGAGGUGGGCUGAAGACUUUGAGCCUCUCAUUCUCCCUGUUUUCUGUGCAUGGUGGUGUGAUUGGGCGGUCUCUGAUCACACAAUGGCCGAUGUGCAGCUCUCCAACUCCAGCAAUGUCAAGGCUGUCUAUGCAGGACACAGCUUGAGCCUCUUCAUGGACCUCCGCCCGCCGGCGGAGGUGCUGGCGACGUGCAGCGGCUCCGUUGUCGAGGACCUGCCCGUGACACUAAGUGUCAUGCUGCGUCGCAUCCAUAGCGAAAGCGAGACCCCGCUUUCGUUUCGUUGUUCUUCCUCGCAUCGACUUCUCACCUACGUGCAGUGCGAAGACGGUGCUGGCGGCGAUGCUGUCCAGCUGGGAAUGAGCGGUAACAACCUGCUCAAGGUCACUAUAGACCUUGCUACCUUCCCGGACCGGUUGCAGCGACUAGCAGCGGCCGAUGUCGCUGCAGCUGAGCAUGCCUUGCUUGAUCAGUCGUGGGUGAUCGGCUCGCGGUUCCGCCUCUCAAUGCAGCUGCGUACCAGAGCGCGUGCCGAGUGGCCACCCCUCGUCGCCCCGCAGUGGAGCGAGUCCAGUGACGGCUGCCUUGUCCCGACACCUUGCAGCCAUCACAUGGACAAUCAUGACAGCGCGGGCGUUAUGAGGAUGCGGGAAGAGUUCGCCGCGAAGGGCGUAUCCGCGUCGCCCAGUAUCGUUCGGCGGAAUCGGCCACUGUCUCUAUACGACAAGUCAGCACCGCGCUCUCAGUUGAAGGGUCCGGUGUACAUUGACCAAGAGCUGUUCCCGAUCGUUCGUAUUUUGUUUGUUCCUCAACUCUACACGGAGGCCAUCCCGACGGCAACGGCGGUGUUGCGGAGCAUGACGGUGCAAGUCGGAGUGGAGCGUUGCCGCGAGAGCCGCGGCGGCAAGCCGCUUCGUCGCGCCCUGCGAGACCGCAGCACUAAAGACAACGUCGCCGUGCUCGAUCGCGUGCCGGCAAGUAGCAGCACGUUAGAUGAGGAGAGCAAAGCCCUACUGCAACCGUACGAGGCCAUCUGCCUCGCCUUUAACGCCCAUGUUCGUCAGCCCUCAAUGACGUCGGUCACUGCCUACAACGUGGCACACGCGAGGCGACUUGUUGUGCAGGACUACACCUUUGAGGUGAUGGUCACGGCAGCGAGGAUGAAAAGCGAAACCGUGGAGACCGUGCAGCGCGCUAUUCAGGCCUAUCAGUACGAGAGCGGCGAUGCAGAUGUGCUGGGCAUGAACCUCGAUGAAGCCGUCAGCUCCGUCGAAGAGCGGUUUGGCUACAUGAAGGACGCGCCGUCGGUGGACUUGAUGAGCUUUCACCAUGUUGUUUGGGAGGCGAUGCGAGCAUGCAUGGUGGCCGACGUCACUUCCAGUGCACUUGCAAACGAACUGGAGGACGAGCUCGACCGCUAUGAGGACCGCAUCAACGAAAUCUUGAUGGAUAUGUGACUCAAACGAUGCCACUGGUAGGUUUCUCUCUCUCUUUGUAUGUCUACGCUUCCUGAUCAUGGAGCCUGGAUGUGGCACACACACACACACAUACACACACACACGCAGAG
rnacentral:misc_RNA from 1 species